CAAAAAUUUUUCUGUUUACUUAUUUUAUUUAAACUUCAGAAGAACAACACUAUUUAUGUACAUUUUGUAUAUUUAAAUCACUAAAGUAUCGAAAAUAUCUGACAUGUAAAUUAAUAAGCUACUACCACAUAUGAACGACUUGAUGUCGCUUUUGCGACUAACCUUGCAAGUAGCGUCAGAACUCUAAAACCAUUGAAUCAACUCAUGUACAAUGUACAAAUCUGCACCAACCGUCAGGCGCCUGUCAUACAAACAAUUUUUGUUUAAGAUAUAAUACAUGUUUAUGUUCUAAAGGAUUUACACAAAACCCAAGGGUUUUGCAGCCUUCUGCGACAAAUUUUAGAAUAACAGUACGCAUGUGUCAGAAUUUGAACAGAGCUAACUAAAACAAAAUAAGCCUUACGUCCUAUAUAUAAUAUGUAAAUAUAUUGUACAUACAAGCACAUACUUAUGCGUAUUGCAGAGUUGUAUACAGCACCAAGGCUAACGUCCUCAUAUUGCAAAAUAUAUAUACUAUGUAUAUACUUAUGUGUGCAUACGUGUACUCUUAUAUUUUUGUGAUUCUACAAUAUAGUCUUAAUCACUAUUACACAUUGAAACUUCGCCGUCUGUCGUUGUAAGGGCGAGUACUAUAGCAGGAAGGGCACCCAGACUGCAUGCUACAGCGGUAUGAAAACACGUUCUGCUUGACUUAAGUUAUACAUUUGCACAUGCUCAACCUUACCUACUUUCAUUCUACCCGUCUGUGGCUGCCACCCUCCAGCUUUUUCAUGUUCGUGACAUUGGCAGUGGCAUUGCAAUAUUGCCUUGCUGCCGCAUUUCUAUUUUUCCUAUAUGAAUUGAAGUUGGAUGUGUACAUAUGUAUACAUAUUUACUCCACUCUCGAACAAUGGCCAGACCGGUUGAAAGCAUUAUAAUUAUAUCUACAUAAGUACAUACUUAUAUCAUAUUAUAUGUGCACUCUGUACAUAUGUAUGUGUGUAUAUUAUAUAACUAUAGAUGUAAAUGCGAUGGUAUGUAUACAUACAUAUAUGCUAUUGCAUACCUUUCGUUAACGUAGUGGUAUAUUUUGCACCGUUCAUGGUCGUUGCCAUUUCAACGUCUACUCAAAUUCUUUGUGGGUACUUUCUAGACAUACAUACAUAAAAGAAAAUGCAUUUCGACACUUAUGUUUGGUAGUAAAAAGUACAUGGACAUAUUGGAAAUCAACAUGUUACAAUUUCAACUUGCAUAUUAUUUAUAU